rnacentral:rRNA from 1 species
UACGAAGGGGGCUAGCGUUGUUCGGAAUUACUGGGCGUAAAGGGCGUGUAGGUGGUAAUGUAAGUCUGGCGUGAAAUUUUUCGGCUUAACCGGGAAAGGUCGUCGGAUACUGCAUCACUAGAGGACGGUAGAGGCGUGUGGAAUUCCUGGUGUAGCGGUGAAAUGCGCAGAUAUCAGGAGGAACACCGGUGGCGAAGGCGGGUCUCUGGGCCGAUACUGACACUGGAGGAGCGAAAGCGUGGGGAGCGAACAGG